rnacentral:rRNA from 1 species
UGACNUCCUACACUGUUGCUUCGGCGGGUAGGCCGUCCCCUGAAAAGGACGCCUCCCGGCCCGGACCGGACCCCCCGCGGGACCGGACCCGGCGCCCGCCGGAGGAUAACCAAACUCUAUUGUAACGACGUUUCUUCUGAGUGGCAUAAGCAAAAUAAUCAAAACUUUUAACAACGGAUCUCUUGGUUCUGGCAUCGAUGAAGAACGCAGCGAAAUGCGAUAAGUAAUGUGAAUUGCAGAAUUCAGUGAAUCAUCGAAUCUUUGAACGCACAUUGCGCCCGCCAGCAUUCUGGCGGGCAUGCCUGUUCGAGCGUCAUUUCAACCCUCAAGCUCUGCUUGGUGUUGGGGCUCUACGGUCGACGUAGGCCCUCAAAGGUAGUGGCGGACCCUCCCGGAGCCUCCUUUGCGUAGUAACAUUUCGUCUCGCACUGGGAUCCGGAGGGACUCUUGCCGUAAAACCCCCCAAUUUUCCAAAGGUUGACCUCGGAUCAGGUAGGAAU